rnacentral:rRNA from 1 species
CCAGCAGCCGCGGUAAUUCCAGCUCGAGGAAAUUUUAUCAAUGCUGUUGCAGUUGAAACGCUCGUAGUUGAGUUUUGUGUUCAUGGGGACGGUCUUGCGAAAGCGGGCACUGUUGUCUGGACAUGUGGGUCAGCAGCGUCUUUAUGGCGUCUCUGGCGGGUUACUGUGAAGAAAUUAGAGUGUUCAAAGCAGGCAAGCGCUUGAAUACAUUAGCAUGGGAUAACGAUCGUGCGAGCGAUUGUUGGUUAGCAGUCAUUUGCGAUUGAUAGGGACAGUCGGGGGCAUUAGUAUUUGGCAGUCAGAGGUGAAAUUCUUGGAUUUGCCAAAGACUAACUAGAGCGAAA